GAUGAACGCUAGCGGCAGGCUUAACACAUGCAAGUCGAGGGGCAGCACGUCUUCGGAUGGUGGCGACCGGCGCACGGGUGAGUAACGCGUAUGCAAUCUACCUUUUACAGGGGCAUAGCCCGGGGAAACCCGGAUUAAUAUCCUAUAGUACCAUUAUAUAGCAUUAUAUUAUGGUUAAAGUUUUGGCGGUAAAAGAUGAGCAUGCGUCCUAUUAGCUUGAUGGUAAGGUAACGGCUUACCAUGGCUAUGAUAGGUAGGGGUCCUGAGAGGGAGACCCCCCACACUGGUACUGAGACACGGACCAGACUCCUACGGGAGGCAGCAGUGAGGAAUAUUGGACAAUGGGCGCAAGCCUGAUCCAGCCAUGCUGCGUGCAGGAAGACGGCCCUAUGGGUUGUAAACUGCUUUUAUACGGGAAGAAACACCCCUUCGUGAAGGGACUUGACGGUACCGUAUGAAUAAGGAUCGGCUAACUCCGUGCCAGCAGCCGCGGUAAUACGGAGGA
rnacentral:rRNA from 1 species